UCGACCACAAAAUACAUUUUUGUGUGCAAGAAAUACAUUACAUGGUCUGUUUUUUUGUAAAGUUUAUUGAGCGCUAAAAUACGGUGCAGACGCAUAUUUUCAGCAAAACCCUCACAUUAGUACAAAUAAUUGAUUUCACACAUUACGUUAAUCAGCUUUGACAGAUCAUGUACCCAAAGUAUUUUAAGUAGUGUUGUCCUUUAAUGUCGAUAACAUAUAUUAUUAUGUUUUAAUGUAAUAUCUGCUCUGUAUCCGUAGCUGGCUACCACAACCUCUAACUAAAACUGGAAACACUGACGUUCUAGACAGCGGUGUUUGUCUAUGUUUGUUCCUUUUUUUCACAGAGAUUGUAGCCAAAGGGAAGAAAGAGAGCAGUGAUAGUUUGAUCGUCACACUAAAAUAUUAACUGUCUAUUCUAUACAAGGUCUUUGACAUGGGCGGUUAUCUUAAUAAAUAAUUAUCAUUCUCGCAUUAAGUCUAUGGUGCGCUCAUAUUGAAGAUGACAGUUUUACCCCGCCCCUCCUUCAUACUUCUUUCCUAUUUCGCCUGCCAUGCCAGAUUGCAAAGACCAGUCGCCAUCUUGUUUGACAUGACAUUUAUUUUCAAAGCUCCACUACAACAUUUAUUUCGUUUAAUUCCGUAACUUAUCCUCUCAAUUGUUGUAGCUGUAUUUUCUAAAAUUUCACCAUGUACCAUAAGUGUAGUGUUGUGAGUUGUGAUAGUAGACGAAAGGACGUAUUUUUUAUUAGAUUUCCAAAAUCUGAGAUAGAACUCCAAAACUGGGUAGAGUGCGCAUUAUAUCUGAAAGAUUGCGAAGUGUCCUGAACUUACGAAAGAAGAAAAGGUUUUUCUCAUCGCCACGCCUAAGAUCUCGCCUCCGCGUCGACGUCUAUCCAACAUUAUUUAGUGCUGAUGAGAUCAUUACUGAGAUGCCCCAAGGCUUACACCACGACGCCGAUGCAACCAAAAAUGUCUCUCAUGAGCACAAUUUUUGUAAGAGGAGACUGCAUGAAGACCAUUCCUACAGCAAAGUUGAAGUUCCAGAGAAAUGUACAAGAGUCGAAAGUGAUGCACUCAUUUACUCCACCCUUCGACGCCCUAGACGAAGAAGGCGUGUGAUUGUCACGAAAAAGUCUGGCAUCAAUUUGUGCAAGAAUUUACUCUGAGUACAUGAGACCCAGAAAACAAUCCAUUAAAAAUAA